CCUACGGGAGGCAGCAGUCGAGAAUUAUUCACAAUGGGGGAAACCCUGAUGGUGCGACGCCGCGUGGGGGAAUGAAGGUCUUCGGAUUGUAAACCCCUGUCAUGUGGGAGCACAUUAACAAGAUAGUACCACAAGAGGCAGAGACGGCUAACUCUGUGACAGAGGCCGCGGUAAUACAGAGGUCUCAAGCGUUGUUCGGAAUCACUGGGCGUAAAGCGUGUGUAGGCUGUUUCGUAAGUCGUGUGUGAAAGGCGCGGGCUCAACCCGCGGACUGCACAUGAUACUGCGAGACUAGGGUAAUGGAGGGGGAACCGGAAUUCUCGGGGUAGGAGGGGAAAUCGUA
rnacentral:rRNA from 1 species